CUACAUUAGAUGCACAUCGAAUAAAAAAAUUGCUGAGAAACGAGCAAGACUGGAUAUAUAGGUUGAGUGUUUGAAGCAAGUGUUUUGGUUGUUUAAUAAUUUUCGGGUGCUUUAUUGCGUUAUAUUCCCUGUUGAAUAGCUAAUUACUAGUUUUGUGUGUUUAUAUAAGUGUGUUGUCUUAUUUGUAAAUCAACAGAGAUCCUGUCAUCAAACAUUCUUAGCUACUCACUUAAUUCUUAGUGAAUAUCUGUGACCUUGCUCGUUCACGAAGCCCGCUAUAGAAAGCAGAGUAUUAAAUACACUUGACAUUGGCGAAAUCUAAAAGGAAACGCCAUAAACCUAAGAGAUAGAUAGAUAGAUAGAUGCACAUCCUUUGUUGCAACUGAGAAUAUUAAAUAACUCUUUAGUUACAUCUGAAACCAUCACCAAGAAGCUCCCACACCAAUUUAUAUAUGAUAAUUAAUACAGUAAAGUAACAAAGCACACAUACAUUUCAUUUUUAUUGUGUACUCCAAUGGGAUCUCCCUAAAGUUUUAUUGUAUAUGAUGAUGAUUUUGAAAUACAUCAAUCAAUAACAAUAUUCUAAAUCAAAAUUAUAUAAUAUCAACUUUCUAUUUCACAAUUAACUUUAUGUAAGAUUAAGAUGAAUAUGCUUUCUUAAUGAAUUGCAAUAUGUACAGUGAAGUACAGCUUGAGUUAAUUCUAUGAACAGUAUGAGAAGAUAAUAGUGGUAGUAUAAUAAAUUUUAAUGUUAAUUGAAAACUAUUUCUCAAAUUGCUUAAUUGUGAAUUUUGAUUCAGUUCCAUAGUUGAAUACUUAGGUUGUGCAAAUUAAACCUCAAUAACAAGAUUAUGGUUAGGUAUUUUUAUUAUUGAUAGCAUAGAGCGGGGGUAAUUUAAAACACAUCAGGGACUAGCUUGAUUGUUUUUGUUUCUUUAUUCCAACUAAAAACGGACGGGGCUUCCUUUAUGAGUGUAUGAAAUAUUUUUGUGUAGGUUUGAAUGCAGCUUUGUCCGGAUUUUGUUUUUAUACAAUUUUUUAUUUAAGCAAAAUAAUAAAGUGUUUUUUGAACAGAGAAUGUGGCCUCAAACGGGGGCAUGUUUGACCACCUAGCUAGAGAGUGAUAGGACAACUCUGCUGUACAGUAGUACAUUUAGAGGGUUUCUUCCUCUAUCAUGUGGUGGUAUCGUUCGUUAUAUAUUGUCCCAUCAGGGCUCUUAAAGUUAGGCAUCCUAAGCUGUGAUUUAAUGUCCUCACUGCUUAAAUUGGAAUUAGUGUAUAGUUUCUGGUAGGAAGUUGCCAGAUACUACAUACCUGUAGGAGUUUGACUCCUUAUUAUUAAUAAAAAUGACUUGAUUGUGUCAA